ensembl:miRNA ocu-mir-2355 ocu-mir-2355
AUCCCCAGAUACAAUGGACAAUAUGCUAUUAUAAUUGUAUGGCAUUGUCCUUGCUGUUUGCAGAUAA